GUUCCUCUAUCACCUGAAGCUGCUGAACAUUGGGAUGGAGGAUGAUCUGGAAGUGAGUGAGCCUGGAGGUGGGACCAAGGAGCAGGAUCCUGAGGGAAAUCGGGUCAACUUCCAGAAAUGGUAUGAGAAAUUAAAAGUCAUCAGGAGGAUCCAGCUGCUCCAGCAGGAUGCAAAUGCGUAUGACCUGGAGCCUGAAGAGUGAUUUGGGGCCUGGUUCCAGGCCAUGGAGCCCCUCAGUGUCCAUGAGAGCUACUGGGUCUCCUGCUAGCUGGAGCUUGCACACCAGAAGGCGAGCAAAAUGCGGCUCUUCAAGAGAAAGAGGAACCGGACAUCCUCCAGUUUAGGGCCGACCACCACGCCCUUGGCGAUGAGCCGUCACACUCUGGAGACCACAAGUGCAGCUCCUCCGGACCAGCAGGGACACUGGCGCCCUCGGGGUGUACCGGGCCAGCUCUUCCCACCCUGAGUGAAGGAGGACAUCCUAAGACUUUCCCUGGUUUCCCCUAAAGCCCCAGAGGGAGGGAACCACCCCCUCCAACUCCCUGACAUCUGCACCCCAGCGACUGUUAACCCAUUGGGGAGGAGUGAUAUUAUUUCUUUACUAGUAAAUGGUAGAUUUGAC